CUGUAGCCCAGGUCUUACCCAAAUCAGGAUGAGGUAGUGGGGGGUCCAGGUGGGGCUGUUGGCCGUGACCCUGCUUGCUGCGUACCUGCACAUCCCAACUCUUCAGCUGUCCCCUACCCUUCACUCAUAGAAGUCUUCAGUAAAGUUUUUCACUUACAAGGGACUGCGUAUCUUCUACCAAGACAUUGUGGGUGUGGUUGGAAGUCCGGAGAUAGUUGUGCUUUUACAUGGCUUUCCAACAUCCAGCUACGAUUGGUACAAGAUUUGGGAAGUCUGACCUUGAGGUCUUAUCGAGUGAUUGCCCUUGAUUUCUUAGGCUUUGGCUUCAGUGACAAACAGAGACCACAUCACUAUUCCAUAUUUGAGCAGGCCAGCAUCGUGGAAGCUCUUUGGGGCAUCUGGGGCUCCAGAACCGCAGGAUCAACCUUUAGUCUUAUGACUAUGGAGAUACCGUUGCUCAGGAACUUCUCUACAGGCACAAGCAGAAUCUGUCUGGUCGGCUUACCAUAAAGAGUCUCUGUCUGUCAAAUGGAGGUAUCUUUCCUGAGACUCACCAUCCACUCCUCUAGAAGCCACUCAAAGAUGGACGUGUGCUGUCACCCGUCCUCACGCAGCUGAUGAACUCUGUAUUCUCUCGAAGUCUCAUCCCAGUCUGUGGGCCGUAUACUCGGCACUCUGAGACUGAGCUAUGGGACAUGUGGGCAGGGAUCCGCAACAACGAUGGGAACUUAGUCAUUGACAGUCUGUUACAGUACAUCAAUCGGAGGAAGAAGUUUAGAAGGCACUGGGUGGGAGCUCUUGCCUCUGUAACUAUCCCCAUUCAUUUUAUCUAUGGGCCAUUGGAUCCUGUGAACCCCUAUCCAGGGUUUUUGGAGCUGUACAGGAAAAUGCUGCUGUGGUCCACAUUAGCCACGAUCUACAGCUAGAGGAUCCCAUGGGCUUCUUUGGGCUUCAUCAACUCCUUCUGA
rnacentral:lncRNA from 1 species